rnacentral:rRNA from 1 species
UCCUACGGGAGGCAGCAGUGGGGAAUAUUGCACAAUGGGCGCAAGCCUGAUGCAGCAACGCCGCGUGAAUGAUGAAGGCCUUCGGGUCGUAAAGUUCUGUCCAAAGGGAAGAAACAGUGACGGUACCUUUGGAGGAAGCCCCGGCUAACUACGUGCCAGCAGCCGCGGUAAUACGUAGGGGGCAAGCGUUAUCGGAAUCACUGGGCGUAAAGGGAGCGUAGGCGGUUUGACAAGCCAGAGGUGAAAGGCAAUAGCUUAACUAUUGUAAGCCUUUGGAACUGUCGAACUUGAGUGCAGGAGAGGAAAGUGGAAUUCCUAGUGUAGCGGUGAAAUGCGUAGAUAUUAGGAGGAACACCAGUGGCGAAGGCGACUUUCUGGACUGUAACUGACGCUGAGGCUCGAAAGCGUGGGGAGCGAACAGGAUUAGAUACCCUGGUAGUCCACGCUGUAAACGAUGAAUACUAGGUGUCUGGUGUCAAAGCUAGGUGCCGCAGCUAACGCAUUAAGUAUUCCGCCUGGGGAGUACGCACGCAAGUGUGAAACUCAAAG